rnacentral:misc_RNA from 1 species
AUUUAGUUGAUUUUGCCUGUUUUCGUCCGCCAAAUGACCUCAAGGUAACUUGUACACACAUAUAAUGAUGAAUCAACACCUAAUAAUUAAAUUAACAUUGCCACAGAUUUCCAGGGAGGAAUUUAUUGAAUUGGCAAGGAAAUCUGGCAACUUCGACGAUGCUGCAAUCGAAUUUCAGCAGCGAGCUCUCAAGAAUUCUGGGAUUGGAGACGAGUCUUACAUUCCUAGGGUAGUUUUCCAACCUGGUCGGAGAAUUACACUGGAGGACGGGCGAGAAGAGGCAGCAAUGGUGAUAUUUGGAGCAGUCGAUGACCUCCUAGCCACCACGAAAAUACAGACUAAGGACAUUAGAAUUCUAGUUGUCAAUUGUGGGAUCCUAAAUCCUACCCCAUCGCUCUCAGCAAUGGUGAUAAACCAUUAUAAGCUUAGGCAUAAUAUAAAUAGUUUCAACCUUGGAGGGAUGGGUUGUGCUGCUGGAGUUAUAGCUAUUGAUCUAGCUAAAGACCUUUUGAAAGCUUAUCCUGGAUCAUAUGCACUAGUAGUGAGCACAGAAGUGGUAAGUUAUACAUGGUACGCCGGCAACGAUCCAGAUAUGCUCCUUGCCAACUCCUUCUUCAGAAUGGGGGCUGCAGCCAUGCUUCUGUCUAGUUUUCGUCUUGACCGGUGGCGCUCCAAGUAUGAACUAAAGCAGGUAUUACCUCUUUUAUCUCUAUUAACUUGUGAUCUAUUCUCAAGUUGUGAGUGAUUUUUAAUGACGAAUGCAGCUGGUUCGAACCCACAAAGGCAUGGAUAGCAGAAGCUUCAAAAGCAUACAUCUGAAGGAAGACAAACAAGGAAAGCAAGGUCUCUCAGUAAGCAAAGAUGUAAUUGAAGUGGCAGGCCAUGCUCUUAAGGCCAACAUCACCACCGUAGGUCCUCUAGUUCUCCCUAUAUCAGAACAAGUCCAUUUCUUCACCAACUUGCUCUUCAAGAAAAAAUGCUCCAAGCCUUACAUUCCUGACUAUAAGCUUGCUUUUGAGCAUGUAUGCUUAUUGGCAACUAGCAAAAUGGUCCUCAACGAAUUGCAGAAGAACUUGGAGCUCACCGAUGAGUAUAUGGAGGCAUCAAGAAAAACUUUGGAGCGAUUUGGGAACACUUCCAGCAGUAGCGUAUGGUACGAACUGGCUUACUUGGAGGCAAAUGCAAGGAUCAAGAAAGGCGAUAGAAUUUGGCAACUUGCUUUUGGUUCCGGCUUCAAGUGCAACAGUGUUGUUUGGAAGGCUCUUAGGAGUGUUGGGAAACCUGAGAGAAACCCAUGGAUGCAGGAAUCUGUCUAGAUACUUAAUUUGCUAUAUAUGCAUGAAAACAUUUCCAACAAUAUUGGUUUCAAUAGUAAACAUGCAUAAUAACCUUAUGGUCUCUUUUUCCAUACUGUAUGAUUGCGUAUGCCUUAGAUUUACGUGCCUACUAUAACCUAAUAAUUGCACUGGAAUUUUGGAACAGUUAGAAAUGCAGGCUCAGCAACAAAUUUUUGUGUGAACGAUUGUAUUUCUGAUGAUGAGUGAAAUGAGGUAAAUGACUUGGAUAAUAAAUCUGAAUACUUUUGGCCUGUGAUUUCCAGCUAAAGGAAAUAAAUUAUGAAUCAAGCUAAGGAGGAAGUUAACAGUACAAGGGUUAUUUUGUGGAUUUUUUAGGGAGAUGAAGAAUUCCACCAAGUGGCAUGAGGUACAACAUAAAGAAUUCCCUGAGACUUUUGUUUGUGGAUGAGCUGGACAGUAGAUAAUCU